AUUGAACGCUGGCGGCAGGCCUAACACAUGCAAGUCGAACGAGUGGCGGACGGGUGAGUAAUGUCUGGGAAACUGCCUGAUGGAGGGGGAUAACUACUGGAAACGGUAGCUAAUACCGCAUACCAUCAGAUGUGCCCAGAUGGGAUUAGCUUGUUGGUGGGGUAACGGCUCACCAAGGCGACGAUCCCUAGCUGGUCUGAGAGGAUGACCAGCCACACGGGAACUGAGACACGGUCCAGAUGCCUACGGGGGGAGGCAGUGGGAAAUAUUGCACAAGGGGCGCAGGCCUGAUGCAGCCAGGCCGCGUGUAUGAAGAAGGCCUUCGGGUUGUAAAGUACUUUCAGCGGGGAGGCGUUACCCGAAGAAGAAGCACCGGCUAACUCCGUGCCAGCAGCGGGGGUAAUA
rnacentral:rRNA from 1 species